CCGAGUACUACACUCAUAACCCUUUGUGAACCUUUAUACCUGUUGCUUCGGCGGCGCGCCUCCCGGGGCGUGCCCGCCGGCAUUAUCAGAAUCUCUGUUCGAACCCGACGAUACAUCUGAGUGUUCUAAGCGAACUGUUA
rnacentral:misc_RNA from 1 species